UACGAAGGGGGCUAGCGUUGUUCGGAAUUACUGGGCGUAAAGCGCGCGCAGGCGGCUAUCCAAGUCAGUGGUGAAAGCCCGGAGCUCAACUCCGGAACUGCCAUUGAAACUGUUUAGCCUGAGGAUGAGAGAGGUGAGUGGAAUUCCCAGUGUAGAGGUGAAAUUCGUAGAUAUUGGGAAGAACACCGGUGGCGAAGGCGGCUCACUGGCUCAUUACUGACGCUCAGGCGCGAUAGCGUGGGGAUCAAACAGG
rnacentral:rRNA from 1 species